rnacentral:rRNA from 1 species
UACAGAGGGGGCGAGCGUUGUUCGGAAUUACUGGGCGUAAAGCGUGCGCAGGCGGUUAUGCAAGACAGAUGUGAAAUCCCCGGGCUCAACCUGGAACUGCAUUUGUGACUGCAUGGCUGGAGUGCGGCAGAGGGGGAUGGAAUUCCGCGUGUAGCAGUGAAAUGCGUAGAUAUGCGGAGGAACACCGAUGGCGAAGGCAAUCCCCUGGACCUGUACUGACGCUCAUGCACGAAAGCGUGGGGGACAAACA